rnacentral:tRNA from 1 species
UUGAUUAGGUGUUUUGCAUGUUAAUUUUUCGUGUUAAAGGUGGGUUUUAGUUCAGUCAGCGG